rnacentral:lncRNA from 1 species
AGAAAGCUGCCUCUCUGGGCUCCAGGUCCACCACACCCAUCUCCCUCAGCCACUGGGGCCUGCUUUCCUCAGGACCAGUGAAGAUGUAGCCCCCAAGAGGCACUGCUGCCUGGCAGCUCCACCACCUCCAUCCUUUCUCUGGGUCUCCGUGCCCAGGUGUGAAUCUCCCCGCCACCCCCUACUCCCUGGCAUCUCUGCUGGGCACAGGCAGGCAGCCUUCUUAAACGUCCAUGUGCCACAGGUAAGACCAUCUAAUACCCAGUCCGGGCUGCUUCUCUCUGACUCCUCAGUGUUUUCAGCACGACACACUCUGAGCAGGAGCGGGGAUGGCACAAAAGUGGGUGAAGCUGCUGGAGGUCUGUGCUGAGGCGUGGCACCGGGAAUGGGCGCGUGUGGAGCAGGCCCGGUCCUGCUGCUGCCUUCUGUUCAGGGACUCACUAGUGGAGAGAGGCUUCUGUGGACCUGGUCUUGUCCUGUUUGUGCUCCUCUGUGGCUGGGUGACCUGCUUCUCCUCUCUGGUGCUCUGUGAGGAGGAGCAGUCAGGUGCCAGGCAGGCGGGCAGGCUGGGGAUCCGCAGGGUCCUUGGUGCUGUGCUCCUGGACGCUGGAACAGGGAUCCACACUGGCCCUGAGAGCUGGGCGGGCACAGGUUGCCCACGGCACCUCUGCCAGGUGACACGUGUGAGGCAGAUCAGGCCACUGGGAUCACACUCUGGGUCUGGGAGAGCGAUCCAGAUUGGGGAGGUGGCCAACAUGGCUGACACUGUCAG